UACCGAGGCCCCAAGCGUUACUGAGAAUCACUGGGUUUAAAGGGUGCGUAGGUGGCGCGUUAAGUCCGUUGUGAAAUCCCUGGGCUCAACCCAGGAAUUGCUUCGGAUACUGGCGUGCUUGAGGCUAGUAGGGGUCACUGGAACUGACGGUGGAGCGGUGAAAUGCGUAGAUAUCGUCAGGAACGCCGAUGGUGAAGACAGGUGACUGGGCUAGUUCUGACACUGAGGCACGAAAGCGUGGGGAGCGAACGGG
rnacentral:rRNA from 1 species